AGCGAGGUAUAGAGUUCCUACGUUCAUUAUAAACUCGUAGGAACUUCAUACCGUGCUCU
rnacentral:pre_miRNA from 3 species